rnacentral:lncRNA from 1 species
UCAUUCAAUGGCAUCAACAAUAGUAGCAAUGACCCUAAUCAACUCAAACACCUUGAACACAACAAAUUCACCAAAAUUCCCCAACCCCACAAAACUCAUCACGAAAGCCACUUCCCUAAAGAACAUAACCACAACAUUAAACACAACAAAACUAACAACUUCCAUAACAGGAACAGCACUAGCAGGAGCAGUAUUCUCAACACUUGGAACAUGUGACCCAGCUUUUGCAGCACAACAAAUAGCUGAAAUAGCAGAAGGAGGAGAUAACCGUGGAUUAGCACUUUUGUUACCAAUAAUUCCAGCCAUAGGUUGGGUUCUAUUCAACAUUCUUCAACCAACACUUAACCAAAUCAACAAAAUGCGUAACUCAAAAGGUGUUAUCAUUGGUUUGGGUCUUGGUGGUUUAGCUUCUUCAAGUUUUAUUUCAACUAAAGAUGCAAUGGCUAAUGAUAUCGUUUCCAUUGCUGAAGCUAGUGGUAGUGACAAUAGGGGUCAGCUUCUGUUGUUUGUUAUUGCUCCAGCUAUUCUUUGGGUUCUUUACAACAUUUUGCAACCUGCUCUUAAUCAAAUCAACAAAAUGAGAUCAAAGUGAAACUUCACUUUAUAUAAAUAAAAAUAAAAACUACUUUUUGCAUGUUGUUUUCUGUUAGUUAGUUUUUCUUUAGCCAUUCUGUUGUAACCGUUUACCAAUUCAUGUUGUAUAAGCAAUUGUACUUUCCUCUUUCUGAAUUAAACUGAAAGAUAUUAUUCAUUCUUACUGUAAUAUGAUAUCAAAUUAAAUAUUUUGUUACUCUUUUAUGUUCUCCCAUGCCUGAUCUUGAAAUUGAUUCCUCUUCUGAACAUGCUAUGCCUAAUUCCGGCGCGGAGAGUGUCCAUUUAUACAAAAAUCCAUAUCAUCUUCAUCCAGAUGACAAUCCUAGAGCAAUUCUUGUCACUCCUCCUUUGGAUGGUACCAAUUAUUACCGAUGGAGACGAUCUAUGCAAAGAGCCCUAUUAUCUAAGAACAAACUGAAAUUUGUUGAUGGAUCCAUUUCUGCACCUUCGUUCGCCGAUGCAAAAUGUGUAUCUUGGAUUAGAUGCAAUGCCAUGGUGGUUUCUUGGAUCAUUCGCACUCUCUCUUCUUCAAUUGCUAAGUCCGUAGUUCACACUAUAAAUGCUGCGGAUCUUUGGAAUGAACUCAAAGAACGUUUCACCAAAAGUAAUUUUCGUGUUUCUGAUAUUCUUCGUGAAAUUCACACGAUUAAUCAAGGGGAAAGUUCUGUUACUACAUUCUACAAUGAUUUAAAGGAAUUAUGGGACGAGUUUGAUCAAUUGCGCCCGAAUCCUAAUUGCAUAUGCACUUCAACAUGUGCUUGUUCUAUUUACAUCACCAAUGGCUUAAAGAAACACCAAGAAACCGAACAAGUUAUUUCUUUUCUCAACGGUCUCAACGCUAAAUUCUCCUAUGCUAAGACGCAAAUCCUCAUGGUGGACCCACUUCCACCUCUUUCAAGUGUUCUUGAAUCUCUACUUCAACACGAAUGUCAAAUUGAGUCCAAUGCUAGUAUUUUGGGUGAUUCCGAACUUGAAUUUCAACGCAAUCUAACACACUAAUACAUCUUCUUAGCAUGGGUUUAGAUUUGCAUAUAUUUAGCUAUAGAUGUCCAAAGUAUGAGUUAUAAUUUCAUAGUUUUCUUGUAUCUGGAUUGGUGCCUGUUUUUAUUCAAACACAAAUUCAGUUUUGCAGAAUAUGUAGCAUGGUGGCAUGUAUUUGGAUGUGCAUAUCUUAAACUAUAUAUUACUUGUGUACUAACAACAGUGCAAGGCUACGGUACUAACGAGUUCAUGUGUUUCCUUUGGUCUUAUACUCGACUCCUCUGCCAAAUUGUUGUAUAGAGCUAAAAUACAUGCAUGCCAUUAAAAUUAAUCUAUGAACACAGCAAUCAUGUUUAUAGCAUAAAGUAGAAAAAUCCACAUAAACAUGACAAAAUUAAAAUCUUUAGAAUACUCAAACCUCAUAUUUUUAACAUUAAUUGUGUUAAAGUCAUUGAUUGAAUCUAUAUAUAAUCUAUUAUAUAUAUUUAAAACAGACCUCAUGCCACCUCAUAGUAUUUCUUCCACAUUGUGCAAACAUAUUCCACCUCAGCAAAAAAAGCUUACGUGUACGCCUUAGAGAGUUCGUUUUUAUGUUUCACCUCAUUUUGGUCUAUUUAGUUUCUAAAUAAUUUUUUUCUCUUUUAAUCUCUCUAAUCUCUAAUUUUUUAAUGACUUCCUCCAACAAUUUCUUCUUCCCUCUUGUGUACGUCCCAAUCAUUCGCAAAAUCAUCUUCUUCGAAAUCGCCGACUCUACUCCAAAGAUACACUGAAAGAGGUAUAGGUUGAUUCAUUGCAAUAAAAAAUUUCCUUCUCUUUGUCCAUUUCUGAUUUUGCUGCCAUAAAUUCAAUUAUAUUCUAUGCAAUCUUUGAAAUCAAUCUGACUCAUAGUGACUUAAUGCUAUAUAGAUUUACAAUAAUACACGUACCAACCAAGAGUGGCAAAGGCAACAGGAAGCAUGAGAGCUUGAAAUGCAAUGUUGGAAUUAAGAAGAUGAAAAGCUGCAAAAUAUGUAUUACCAUUUCUAGAUUCAGUUAGAGGAAGCCACUCAUCUUUUGGACGUUGAAUUUGGAUUUGGUCACUAGGUGAUGAGUGGUUAGAUUCAAAAGAACUUCUUAGAUCCGCUCUAUUUAUCAUCAUUCGUUUCUUUCUUGCAAGAAGUUGUCUGUGUAUUGCAUGAAUUAGAUUCUAUUCGUCUUAUUUAUUCUUAAGAGAACCCCCCACCACAAACUAAAUAUUGUACAAAUUGAUUGUAUUAUCCCUUCCCUUCUUGAUUUCAAAUUGUUUCCUUUAUAUAGUAGAUAUCAAAUCUGUAAAUUAAUUAAUUAUUAUUUGUUUGUUUCUUAAGGAGCAUUUAAUGCUAAUAAGUAAGGAUGGUUGUGGACAGUAUCCUUAAUAGAUUCUAUUCGUCUUAUUUAUUCUUAAGAGAACCCCCACCACAAACUAAAUAUUGUACAAAUUGACUGUAUUAUCCCUUCCCUUCCUGAUUUCAAAUUGAUCAAAUCUGUGAAUUAAUUAAUUAUUAUUUGUUUGUUUCUUAAGGAGCAUUUAAUGCUAAUAAAUAAAGAAGCUUGUGGACAGUAUCCUUAAUAGAGUAAGUCUAAAAUUUCUAUACUAGAGAUAUAGAUUAAUAUUAAAUUAUUUAAAUUAUAUUGGUUGAUAAUAGCUGGCUUUUUCAGAUAAUAUAUAAUGGAAUAAAAUCAUGCUACAAAUAGGACAAAUAUUUAUUUUUAGUACCCCAAAUCAAAUAUUGUGUAAUAUUGCUUUUAUUUGUGUUUAAUGAAAAUUAAUUGUUUGAUUAAAAGUUAUUUAUAUAUUUCGUUUUUAUUUUAAUUUAUUUCAAAUUCUUGUAAUUAAUUUAGUAAGAUUGCAUUUAAUGUAGAAAUAGUGUGAGAGUAAAAUUACUGAAAAAUGAACAAGUGACAAGCACCGAUGCCUAGCCUCAAGUCCGGUAAGCACAAAUAUUCCGGAACCGACGACAGCACCGAUGCCGAACCAUAUCAAGUCCCACCAAUUCAACGUCUUCUUCAUCUCAUUACCACUCCGAGCCUUAACUUCGAAUAACUCCGAAUGAUCACUGGAUCGUUUCAACACACGAUCUUUCAAUCGGAAUGGUGUCUCCAUCACCGAUCUUCCAUAAUUUCCCCAACUUUUAAACGACUCCUCCGGGAAGAAGUCGUUUUUUUGGAAGGUGCAUCCUCUCCUCCGUACUCCGCCGCCGUUUUCCUCGCCAACCGCCAUAUCCCUGUUAUAACUAAAUAAAUUUAUAUCAGUUUAUGAUUUUACUGGAAAUAAGAAAUAGAAGAAGAAAUUUGCACCUCUAUAGUUUCUUGUCAAAGGUUGCUCAAAGUUUGAGCACCAGGAUAUUUAUUUAGAGAAUCACGGACUUGUACAUUAUUAUAUAUUCAAAUUGUCAACAUUCUAUAUAACUAUACAAAUCAACGUCAAUUACUACAUUUGAGAGUAUCCUUAAUAGAAUAUAUAAGUCUAACCAAUGGAAACUCAAUUAAUAAUAUAAACUAAUUUUUUUUUUACUCAAAUGAGAUAGCAGUUGAGAUCGGUUCUAUUUAUCAUCAUUCGUUACUUUCUUGCAAGAAGUUGUCUGUGUAUUGCAUGAAUUAGAUUUUAUUCGUCUUAUUUAUUCUUAAGAGAAUCCCCCACCACAAACUAAAUAUUGUACAAAUUGAGUGUAUUAUCCCUUCACUUCCUGAUUUCAAAUUGUUUCCUUUAUAUAGUAGAUAUCAAAUCUGUAAAUUAAUUAAUUAUUAUUUGUUUGUUUCUUAAGGAGCAUUUAAUGCUAAUAAGUAAGGAUCCUUGUGGACAAUAUCCUUAAUAGAUUCUAUUCGUCUUAUUUAUUCUUAAGAGAACCCCCCACCACAAACUAAAUAUUGUACAAAUUGACUGUAUUAUCCCUUCCCUUCCUGAUUUCAAAUUGUUUCCUUUAUAUAGUAGAUAUCAAAUCUGUAAAUUAAUUAAUUAUUAUUUGUUUGUUUCUUAAGGAGCAUUUAAUGCUAAUAAGUAAGGAUCCUUGUGGACAAUAUCCUUAAUAGAUUCUAUUCGUCUUAUUUAUUCUUAAGAGAACCCCCCACCACAAACUAAAUAUUGUACAAAUUGACUGUAUUAUCCCUUCCCUUCCUGAUUUCAAAUUGAUUAAAUCUGUGAAUUAAUUAAUUAUUAUUUGUUUGUUUCUUAAGGAGCAUUUAAUGCUAAUAAGUAAGGAAGCUUGUGGGCAGUAUCCUUAAUAGAGUAAGUCUAAAAUUUCUAUACUAGAGAUAUAGAUUAAUAUUAAAUUAUUUAAAUUAUAUUGGUUGAUAAUAGCUGGCUUUUUCAGAUAAUAUAUAAUGGAAUAAAAUCAUGCUACAAAUAGGACAAAUAUUUAUUUUUAGUACCCCAAAUCAAAUAUUGUGUAAUAUUGCUUUUAUUUGUGUUUAAUUGAAAUUAAUUGUUUGAUUAAAAGUUGUUUAUAUAUUUCGUUUUUAUUUUAAUUUAUUUCAAAUUCUUGUAAUUAAUUUAGUAAGAUUACAUUUAAUGUAGAAAUAGUGUGAGAGUAAAUUCUUGUAAUUCCAAAUGAUUUUAGUAUAGAUGUUACAUAAAUUGCUGAUUAAAUUAAAAUGGUUAAAUUAAAGCAAAUGAUGAUUGAGACCUUUUGGUGGGUGAUAGGCAAUGUGAGUGAAUACCAUGAGCUUGAGGUAUGUUGUGAUCCUACAUUUAAACUUGCAUUUUAAAAAAAUAAUUAAAUUAACGUUUUCUAAAUCCAACAUUUAAACUUGCAUUUUAAAAAAAUAAUUAAAUUAACGCUUUCUUAUAUAGUAACUAUGAGUCAGUUUGUUUAAUAUUUUUUUAAAGUGAGUUUAAUUUUAUAUUUUUAAAAACAAUUUUUAUGAUAAUUUAUUUAAAAAUAAUAGAAAUAGUUUUAACUCAUUUAUUAUCAAUUAAUAAUAAUAAUUUUGACAUUCAAUAAUUUAGAUAUUAAUUACUCAACAUUUUAACAAGAUAAAAAUUACCUCAAAACAUUGAUUAAUUUUUCACCCCAAUAAAAUUAUUAAAUUGGGAGUUUUGAAUAAUCGCCGUGAAAUGAUCUUUGAUUUAUAAAGAUAAUUAUUAAUUUAUAAAAAUUAAUAAUUUUUACGAUAAAAUAUAAAUAAUUAAUAUAAUGAUUAUCAUCAAAAUAAUAUUUUUUAUAAAAUAAUAUUUUUAAAAUAUAAAAAUUAAUAAAUAAUUAUUUAAUUUAUAAAAAUAACCGUUAAUUUAUUUAUUUAUAAAAUAAAUAUAUCAAAAUCUUUCGAUCUCUGAAUUCAUAUAUAAACUCUCAAUUAUGAAAUUUCAAUAGAGUUCAUUUGUACACUUCAGUUACAAUUUCUUCUCCAUAUACGUGGACCAAAAUAAAUUUUGUAAGUCUGAAUAGUGAAAAUAAAUACAUAUUUGAAAAUUAAAGAGUCCUUAAUCUAUGAGUUUUUAUAAAUCACAUUCGAUACAUGUUUUUAUAUUUUAUUAAUCACAUUUCCAUAUGAACUUGGACAGAAAUGCAUCUAAAUGCCACAUUAAAAGAAAGAAAUAAUACAGAUAAAUGACACAUAUACCUUACUCAUAUCUUGAAUUAUCAAUUGCUUGAGUAGUUAACCUCAACCAAAUAAGUAUUGAUAAUAAUAUAAUUACUCGCAUAUUUUAAAUAUAAUAAACGUUACUGUGUUUUUAAACAUUUGUAAUAUUCUUCGGCAAUAAAUAAGGAAAAAGAUAUACUUAGACUAAAUAUAUACGCUAAACUUUCACUAUAUAAAAAGGAAGAUGCAUUAAGACCAAAAAAAAAAAAAAAGUGAAUGUAUUUCCAACUAUUUUAUUUUAAUCAUUUUUAGUUUCAGCAAUAAAGUAAUAUAUUUUGUAACUCAAUUGUAUAUCAAUUGAGUCUAUCUCUUCAUUUCAAUUAUCAAAUACAUUACUUCAAUAUUUGACAUAUCCAUCGAUCUCAAUAUUAAUACGUUACUUUAUUUAUUCAAAUCAUUCGUCUAAAUUGAUACUUCUCUUCUAUGAAUUAUAUUGGUGAAAUUGUAUAUAUAUUAUUGAUAUAAAUGCUAAAUUGGGACGUAAAACUUUAUAUUAAUUUUUUUUAAAUCCACUUAAAUUAAAUAAAUAAAAAUAUACUCGCGCAAUACGCGGGUUAAAAUAUAGUUAAUAAGUUAUAUAUCAAUCUCAGUCAAAUAACACCGCAACAAAACAAGAAUACAAGCGGCGCUGUACCAAGGCAACAAACAAAACAUCACGUUCAAAAGAUGAAAUUAUUGACAAAACAUGAAAGAGAAAAUAAAUUUGUGUGUAAAUCACUUAUUUAAAUAAAAAGUGAAAAAAAAAACAAUAUGGAGAGUUGAUUUUCAGAGAAAAAAACACGAAACCACUCAUGGCUAAUGGAUGAAGUAGAAAAUAGACGACUAGGGUUUUUGAGCAAUGAAAUGGAAUUUUUUUUAUGGACAAAUGUUAAUAAAUUAGUUGUUAGGUUGUGCUAUAAUUCAACGAAAGUUUUAUUGUUUAUAAAGGAAUUGACCUACUUAACAAAAUAUUUAGAUAAACAUACAAAUUCAACAUUGCUAAAAAAUAAAUUUGUGAAUAUACUAAGUUAGUAUAUUUUCACAAUAAUGUUAUAUUUGAUUUUUUUUAUUAAUUACUAUGAGUAAUAUAUUUGCAUAAAAAUAUCUUAAAAUAUUUGUCGAUUUUAAAUUUUUAAUAUAAUUUUAAUAAUUUUCAUUUUUAAUUUAUAUUUUUGGUAAUUGAGAAUUCAUUAAUACUAGAUAAAAUUAUAAAAUUAUCAUUAUAUUUACUUAUUUAUAGUCACCUCAUAAUUUGUGUGUUAAAUCAUUUAUUGUCAAACAAAAAUGUAAUAUGUAUAACAAAUUUUCAUAUUAAUAUAUAUGAUCUUUUUUUUUAUCUCUAUUUAAUAAUUUUCUAGAUCUAUCACUAUAUUACAAUAUUUUUUUUUAUCUAUUUCUCUCUUAAUGUGUACUUUUUUAAUUUAUUUAUUUCUCUCAUAAUGUGUACCGCAAGUACAUGUCUCUCCAAAUAACUUUUAUUUUAUAUAUAUAAAACCAUAAGUAUGAUACCUUUCCGUCCUAUAUACUAAAGUGCUAGUUUAAAAAUAGGGUGGUGGUAUUCUAGUUUGUUCUAGGAGCUGCUAUUUAACGUUUGAUUUAGUGUGCGGGGUGUUUUGGUUGUUGAGCUCAUCAUAUUCGUUGUAGGGCAGGCCCAUGUUAUCAUGCAGGGCCCGGUCCAUGUCAUGAGACUUAAACUAAAUUUAUUAUAUGAAAUUUAUUUAAAAUUAAUAAAUAAAUUAUUGAUAUUUUAUUUAAAAUUCAUUUCUUAUAUUUUUUUUUAUGUAAAAUUAUUAAUCAAAUUAUUGUAAUCAAUUUUGUUUAGUAAUGUUUUUUCAAUUGAUAAUAAAAUUAAUUCAUUUAAUCUUUCUUAGGAUAUCGUUGAUCUUAGAUAAGAUUUAAUUAAUUUGAGUUUUGAACAAUAAAACCUGAUAAUUAAGAUACUAUUUGAAAUAAAAUAAAAAUCUAGUACUGUUUCACCCAAAUAAAAAUUGUUGAUUCCUCUACAAUUGAAAAAAAAAACUAAUAAUUUAAAACAUAAAUAUUUACUUAUAUGUCAUAUAAAUUAGAAAUAUAUAUAAACAGAUUAAAAAGUGAUGAAUAAAUUAAAAAUACAUUCCUUCAUAUAUUGUCGCCACUUAUAAGAACUAAGAAAAAAAACAAUUAUUUUAUUGUGUUGAUAUAAAAGUUUCAGGAAAUUUUAAUAUGAUAUUUUAAAAAGAUUUUUUUAGUGAAAACCAAUACCUUUUGCCUCAUUAUAUGAUUUUAAUAUUGACUAGUAUUAUAAACACAAAUAUCAAUUCAAAUAAUUAUUAUGUCAAAAAAUUGGAAAUUAAAAAUUUAUCUUUUUAUUUAUGUGUAUAAUUGCUGCAAUUUUAAAAUGUUUUUAUAACAUAUCAUUGGUCUCUAUACUUUAUAAAUAUUUUAAAAUAAAAAAAUUACUUUUUGGCUAGGCAUAGAGUAAGGCUUGCCUCUCCCUUAGACGCACUCGUUGAAGUGUGUAACUUUUUUUCUUGUCAAGGUUGUAAUUUUGUUCUUGUUGCUAACAUUGACCUAACCGGUGCUAACACAGAGUUAAUAUAAUUAAUUUGGUUGUUUGAUUGUUUUUUAAAAUAUAGGGUUUAUUGUAUUAUAAAUCAAAUUUAAUUUUAAUUCUUCAUAUCUUUUACUUUAGUCCAUGAAUAAAUUUGAUCUUCUAAAAAAUUGAUGUAGCAUGGACACCUGUCAAAAAAAAAAAAGCGGUGAGAUAAAUUAAUAAUUAAAAUUUUAUCUUUUACAUACUUUAUUAAUAAAUGGAAAACAAAUAAAAAAAGCAACCAAAUAAUAAAAAAAAAUAGUUAAUUUUUACUUCUUAAUACCUUAGCACAAUUUUAAAUAUGGUUAUGACACCUCAAAUUAGUUAAUAUCAAAUACAUAAACACAAAAAUAUAAUACUCUUUUCAUUCUAAAAUAAUUAUCGCAUUUGAUAAUUUGAUAUAAAUUUAAAAAAGAUAAUAAAAAAAUAUAAAUUAUAUUAUAAUAAUUUUAUUAAUUAUUGAUGUAUUUUAAUUAUUACAAAUACAAAAUAAGAAUAUUAAAUUAAAAAUAUUAAUUUGAGGAUAUAGUUGAAAAAAUUAAAUUAAAAUUAAUUGAAAACUAAAAGUAACAGUCUUAUAUUUUUUUAUAGUAUAUAUGAAGAACAAAGGUUUGCCAAAAAGUUAAGGAAUGAGAGGAAGGGUGCUAAAUCUAAUUACAUCAAAAUGCAAAAGAUAUAAGAAAUCAUUUAAAAUGACCCAAAUUAAGUAAUUAAAGUGAUUUAGACGAACAAGAACAUCAAUUUAAAAAUUCGUCUCGUGACUUGGUUUCAACUAUUGUUUGGCAUUGUGAUAAAGAGUAAAAAAACAAAAAAAAUAAGAUUAGAUUUGUAAUUGUAAUAAAUUUUAUAGUAUUUGUAAUAAUAAAAUUUAAAUUUGUUUAUUUUUUAGUUAAAUAUUCAACUAUAUAUAUUAAAUAUUUUUGAAUUAAAUAAAUAUCAUAUUAUGGAUAAUAACAUUUUUUUUAUAAUAGUGAAUUAUUUUUGCUCUUAUGAUAGUUCCAUAUUAGUAAGAAAUAAUAAGGAAAUUGGGCUUACCAAAAGCAGACAUUGCUAGGAAGAGGUAUCUACUGUGGCGAAUUCCAGAGACAGAUUCACGAAGUUCAAUUAGGAGAAAUAUGGUAUAGAAUUGCCAAAUGAAUGCUAUUGACAAACACACACUGCCCCAUGCCCUGAAAUCAUUGAUGAAAUUAUAAGGCAAAAUGUAACCCGUGAGUAGAUAUUGAAGACCAAAGUCUCUAUUCGUCGAUGUUAAAAUUUGUAUCCGAAAUGCAGGAAAUCUCUAACUCCAAAGAAAUUGUUGUCAAAUAGAAGAAGUGUGUGUGAGAUUUACAAUAAUAAUUAUAAUAAUGUUGAGUAAUACACGUACCAACCAAGAGUGGCAAAGGCAACAGGAAGCAUGAGAGCUUGAAAUGCAAUGUUGGAAUUAAGAAGAUGAAAAGCUGCAAAAUAUGUAUUACCAUUUCUAGAUUCAGUUAGAGGAAGCCACUCAUCUUUUGGAUGUUGAAUCUGGAUUUGGUCACUAGGUGAUGAGUGGUUAGAUUCAAAAGAACUUCUUAGAUCCGCUCUAUUUAUCAUCAUUCNNNNNNNNNNNNNNNNNNNNNNNNNNNNNNNNNNNNNNNNNNNNNNNNNNNNNNNNNNNNNNNNNNNNNNNNNNNNNNNNNNNNNNNNNNNNNNNNNNNNNNNNNNNNNNNNNNNNNNNNNNNNNNNNNNNNNNNNNNNNNNNNNNNNNNNNNNNAAUUAAUUAAUUAUUAUUUGUUUGUUUCUUAAGGAGCAUUUAAUGCUAAUAAGUAAGGAUGCUUGUGGACAAUAUCCUUAAUAGAUUCUAUUCGUCUUAUUUAUUCUUAAGAGAACCCCUCACCACAAACUAAAUAUUGUACAAAUUGACUGUAUUAUCCCUUCCCUUCCUGAUUUCAAAUUGAUCAAAUCUGUGAAUUAAUUAAUUAUUAUUUGUUUGUUUCUUAAGGAGCGUUUAAUACUAAUAAGUAAGGAAGCUUGUGGACAAUAUCCUAAAAUUUAAAAAAACAAAAUUCAUAUAAUUUACUAAAAUUUAAUUUGAAGAAUUAAGAGUUUAGAGUGAUUUCAAUAAUUUAAUCAAAAUCAAUUUUUUGAGUGUGAAACAUAAAUCUUUUGCACUCAAUCGAGUAAGAUAAAUUAUAAUUUACUAUAAAACUCUCUCUUAAAAUAUUUAAUAGUGCGUCAUUCAUAUUAACUCUCGUGAUUAGCCUUGUAUCCCUAAGAUAUCUCUUAAUUAAUAUUGCUAAAAUUUUAUUUUGUUAUCCACUUUAUUACACGUAAAGCUAUUAAUACGGGUUACUAGAACAGUAAUGAUCCACUUGAGAGUAUUGGGCCAACAGCACCAUUCAGCCCAAAGAAAUGCCAAAACGAAAAAUUAAAAAGCACUCUUAGCUAGAUGACAUAUCAGUUCGCAGCUCAGCAGAAGAAGUUAUUUUGAUUGAUUGUUGUCAAAAUUUUGAACAAGUCACGGACAGUAAAAAGAAGAAGAGUAUUACUAAUUUUUUUAUUUUAUAAAUUCAUUGAUAGUAGUUAUUAUUCACUUUAUACUUAAACAUUAUUAAUUUUAUAAAUAAUAUAUAAUCUUGUGAAAAAACACAUAUGAUAAAAGUAAACAAUAAAUUAUAAAAUAUUGUUUUGUGUUUCAAAUUUUAAUUUUAAUAGAAGUAUAUGUUAAAUUCGCAAUCUUUCUUUUGUUUAUACUCUGUUUCUAUAUUAAAUAAAAAAAACAAAAAAAAUCAUCAAAACAAAAUGAGACUUAUUUAACAUGUUAGCUUUAUUUAUUUUUGACUAAAUUACAUCGGCGGUCCUUUAUAAGGAGCAUUUAAUGCUAAUAAGUAAGGAUGCUUGUGGACAGUAUCCUUAAUAGAUUCUAUUCGUCUUAUUUAUUCUUAAGAGAACCCCCACCACAAAUUAAAUAUUGUACAAAUUGACUGUAUUAUCCCUUCCCUUCCUGAUUUCAAAUUGUUUCCUUUAUAUAGUAGAUAUCAAAUCUGUAAAUUAAUUAAUUAUUAUUUGUUUGUUUCUUAAGGAGCAUUUAAUGCUAAUAAGUAAGGAUGCUUGUGGACAGUAUCCUUAAUAGAUUCUAUUCGUCUUAUUUAUUCUUAAGAGAACCCCCACCACAAAUUAAAUAUUGUACAAAUUGACUGUAUUAUCCCUUCCCUUCCUGAUUUCAAAUUGUUUCCUUUAUAUAGUAGAUAUCAAAUCUGUAAAUUAAUUAAUUAUUAUUUGUUUGUUUCUUAAGGAGCAUUUAAUGCUAAUAAGUAAGGAUGCUUGUGGACAGUAUCCUUAAUAGAUUCUAUUCGUCUUAUUUAUUCUUAAGAGAACCCCCACCACAAAUUAAAUAUUGUACAAAUUGACUGUAUUAUCCCUUCCCUUCCUGAUUUCAAAUUGUUUCCUUUAUAUAGUAGAUAUCAAAUCUGUAAAUUAAUUAAUUAUUAUUUGUUUGUUUCUUAAGGAGCAUUUAAUGCUAAUAAGUAAGGAUGCUUGUGGACAGUAUCCUUAAUAGAUUCUAUUCGUCUUAUUUAUUCUUAAGAGAACCCCCCCACAAACUAAAUAUUGUACAAAUUGACUGUAUUAUCCCUUCCCUUCCUGAUUUCAAAUUGUUUCCUUUAUAUAGUAGAUAUCAAAUCUGUAAAUUAAUUAAUUAUUAUUUGUUUGUUUCUUAAGGAGCAUUUAAUGCUAAUAAGUAAGGAUGCUUGUGGACAGUAUCCUUAAUAGAUUCUAUUCGUCUUAUUUAUUCUUAAGAGAACCCCCCACCACAAACUAAAUAUUGUACAAAUUGAUUGUAUUAUCCCUUCCUUUCCUGAUUUCAAAUUGUUUCCUUUAUAUAGUAGAUAUCAAAUAUGUAAAUUAAUUAAUUAUUAUUUGUUUGUUUCUUAAGGAGCAUUUAAUGCUAAUAAGUAAGGAUGCUUGUGGACAAUAUCCUUAAUAGAUUCUAUUCGUCUUAUUUAUUCUUAAGAGAACCCCCCACCACAAACUAAAUAUUGUACAAAUUGACUGUAUUAUCCCUUCCCUUCCUGAUUUCAAAUUGAUCAAAUCUGUGAAUUAAUUAAUUAUUAUUUGUUUGUUUCUUAAGGAGCAUUUAAUGCUAAUAAGUAAGGAAGCUUGUGGACAGUAUCCUUAAUAGAGUAAGUCUAAAAUUUCUAUACUAGAGAUAUAGAUUAAUAUUAAUUACGUGGACAAUAGAUCAUGAAUUUUUGUGGUAAUUAUGACUUUAUGAGUGUCUAUGGACAAUAUUUGCUUCUUAAUUACGUGGGUCACAUAGAUCAUGAAUUUUUGUGGUAAUUAAAUUGUUUUUCAUGGAGCAUAGUAUUGGAAACUAUCUGUGGGGCCCAAAACGCAGGCCGACAACUAUGGCAAUCCCGGAACGAAGGCUUAAUGACGGGCUUGGAUCUUUUAGCCCAACUUGAUAAUAGCCACGUUUAAUUAAUCAUAGGGUGCAGUUUGUUAAAAAGUUGUCUUUUGUACCUCCUAUUAAUCAUAUAUCUCUCAUUUAAAAAAUUUAUGUUUAAAAUAAUCAAAAUACUUUUAAUAAAAAUGUAAAAAUCAAAAAGUUUCCUCUUACCUCCACAAAUUGUGUUUUUCGAAAAAGUGAGUACUGGUGAAUUUUUAAAUUGAUAUUUCCAAGAGUAUCAUCUGGAAAUUUGAAAUUACCGGUAUUGAAAACCAAUACCGGAUAUUUCAAAUUUCCGAGUGGUACUCCCGGAUAUUUUAAAAUUGAAAAUUCCUAUUAUGAUUUAGAACUAUCAGAAUUUGAAAUUUUUGCGAUGUUCAUCGGAAAUUUCAUUCCUCAUUGAAAAUUCUGGAACAGUUUUUGUUUGAUCAGUUGUGAAUACUUCAGUUAAAUCUAUACAUACUGAUUGUGUUUUUUCAAUCCCUAUUUCAAAAAAAAUAAAUAAAUAACAUACUGGAUUUUUGAAAAUUCCGGUUAAGUAUAAUAACUAUCAGAUAUUUCAAAAAUUUGAAAUUUUCGAGUAAGAAAAUGUAAUUACCCGAAAUUUCAAAUUUCUGGUAAUGUAAAUAUGACUACCAGACAUUAUUAUAAAUACCUAUCGAAAAUUUGGUAGUGAAAUUUCCGGUAACUUAAUUGAACUACUGAAAUUUUGAAAUAUGAAAUUUUUGGUAGUGAAUUUUUGUGUACCGAAAUUUAAGGUAAAAAUGUUACGUAUCGAAAAUUUAAUUAAGUGGUGAGAUUUUGAAGUAAUUUUUUUUUACCAAUUAGUAAAUAAAAUCUUUAAAGAUAGUUUUGAGUUUUUAAUAAAUUGAAGAGUAUAAAAUUAAUUGAGGGUACAAAAAGUAACUUUCUCAUAUUGUUAAUUAUGGUGGGCGCCCUUUAGUCUUUAGUGGUUAUUGUUGUUGGUUUUCUGUAUAAUGUAUUGUUAAUUCGCCUCUUCUCAAUGUUUAUUUUUUUAAGGUGUUGUAAUGUUGUUUAUUGUAAUUUUGAUAUGCAAUGGGUAGUGUAAAUCUACAUCGGAUAGUGUUGUAAUACUAUUCUCCUUGGCUUCUUUUCCCUAGAUUAUGACUUUCUAUAGUUCAUGGAUGAAGUAAAACAAUUUUUAAUUAUGUUUUUGUAGACAUAGAACCUUAAUCUGAUCCAAAAAUGAAUUGUUUGAAAGACUUGGCAACCGUUUUGAUGUUUGGUUUAUUAAAUCUAUCCAUCAUCCAAGGAUGACUAUAGCAUGGAAUAAUUUUUGAGAUUUAUGACUCAUUGAAGACCAUCUUAGGUUAAUUAGGUAUUUUGGAAACAAUCAAUUUAGUCUUGAUGUCUACGCUGAACUAGCUUAUUAUGCCUCAUUUGCAAGCUAUCAUACUAAGCACUCGCAAUAUGAUUCCCAAGCUAUUAUAAUAAAUAAAUUAUUUAUUAAUCAUAUAUAUAUAUAUAUAUAUAUAUAGUUUAUUUAUUUUAAAUUAUUUACUAUAAAUUAUAUAAAUUAUUAUUCAAAUAGUUUAUUUUUAAUUAUAAUAUAUAAACUAUAAAAGAUAAAACAAAAUUUAGUUUCAAUAAUAAAAAAUUAAAUUAAAAGAAAAAUAAUAAACUAUAAUUAUAAGCAUAAACUACUUGAAUGCUCAUCAAAUAUUGAUAUAUGCUCACAAAUACAACUACCAAAUAGAACUUAUAAGCAAUUCGUUCGAACUUAUAAUACAUAAUCUAUCGCAAUAGUUUUAAACCUCCAUAAAAAGUUAACUUUUUAAUUAUUGUAAAAGAUUACAAUUUAUUUUAAACUUCCUAAUAAAAGUGUCUCAUAUUCUAAUAUUUGUAAAUCUAAAAUUAAUUAACUUAAUUAAUAAUUAAAAAAUAUUAUAUAAAAUUGGUUAUAUUAAUUUAAUAAAUAAUUUUUAGUCUAAAUUUUUAUAAAAAAAUUAUAAUUUCUUUUAAUAAUUUUACUAAAAUAUAUUUAUAAAUUUUAAAAAAUCUUAUAAUAAAAUUUGCUUUCACCUUUCUUAUGUGGUGCCCGAUCCUGAAUCUUAUAUUUCAGAAAUUAUUUCCUAUUAAUUAAAAAUGAACCGCCACAGACAACAUAUGGGUUGGAAAUAUUUUUGUGAUCAUGACAAUUUCUUUCGCAUCAUUGGGAGUUUAAUUUUCUCACGAUUGGAGAAAACACUAAAAAUUGAUAUUUAGCUUUUGAGGUUGAGCUCUUUUCAAUUAGUUUCGUUUAUUAUUUUGUAUGGUUUGUUUGUUGGUUGUGUGACUCUAACAAGACAUUGUCUUUAUGAAUGUACAGUUUUUAUUGUGUCUUUAUUAAUUUUAGUAAUCUUCCCAAUUGAAUUAUUAAGCAAUGUUAACCUAUUAAAUAUUGGUCAAGCUGCUUCAAGUCCAGACAUAUAUUUUUCGGACGACGCAGCAUCUGAUCCGUGGGGGACAAAUUAUUAUUAUUUUGAUUAAAAGGGGACACAUUAUUCUUAUGAAUAAAUUAGAAUAUAUUAGUUAGAUUUCAUUACAAAAAUUAUAAAGGGUACAAAUUAUUAUUACUAAUUAAUUAUAAUUAAAAUUAGUAUUUUUUUUUAAGAACAUGGACAGAAAACAAGAACAUUUAUAAUACUUAUAAAAGAAUUUCUCACUUCAAUGUUUUAGGUUGUUUUUCUAAAUAUCAAUUACUAAAGAAAUUGUUGGAACUUACAAUUAAUAUACAAAACAAAUAUUUGUAUAAAUUAAUUAAAUUUAAUACUUUUAUAUUUUCUAAAUAAAAAUAAUUAUAGAAUAUUAGUUAUAAAUUAUUAUAAAAGGUGAAGACAUUAUGUUCUAGAAUAAAAUAUUUGUUUUUUAAAUUUGUUGGUGAUAUAUAUAUGAUAUUGUUAAAAAAUAAAAUGAAUACUCUAUUCAUUUUCUCCUUGACAAACUAUACACAGCAUAUAAACGUUUAUGAAUUUAAAUUAAAAUAUGAUAAUUUACAGGUUAAUUUUUAUAUCACUAAUUCAAACAUACUUUAUGCACAUCCUCUUUGGGCUUGGGAAGCUUAAUGUCACGGUGGACAAAAUAUCUACCUUAAAAUGUGCCGCUAGAGUUAAAGGAGUCAUAAUAAAUUUCUAGUUUUAAUUAUUUUUAUAAUAGAAGACGUCAUAAUAUAUUUGAGUUUGAUAGCAAAAUAAAGUAAUAUAUGUACUUGCUCUAGUACUUGGACAUCUUAUAAGAGGGUGUGUAUAUUAUAUUAUAUGGGUACAUCUUUAUCAUUCUAAAAAAAAUAGCAAUUGCAAAUACUUUUAUAAUGCUUUUAACUAUUACAGUGGUUGAAAUGAUUUCUUAAAAUAAUGUAAAAUUAUAGUAAAGUUGAUUUAAUAAUAGUAUUUUAUAAGUGAGGCAAUUACUCAUUCGCAAACUUGUAUCGGCGCCGCAACCUGCAGUACACUUUCGCAAGCUUGAAAUAUCGAAGCACUUCGCAAAACAAAACGAGAGUUGUGGUUUCAACAUGUGUCAUUUUGCAAAACAAUUUGGUUGGGCCUAAGAUCAUAUUUGUCACACAAACACUUAGUUGAUUGUUUAUUCCAUAUAUCUAUAAUUAUAUAUUAGAUCAAUAUUGCCUAUAAAAGACUAUAAUGCGCUAUAUUUCUUAAAGAUUUUUUGGAGUGGUUGAAAGUGUUUCUUUAUCGUCUUCUAUUUGUCAUGUUGUCGUGUUUAUGUAUCUAUUUAUUUUUUCAGAGUUUAAUGUAGAUGUUUAAAAUAGUUUUACACAAUGAAAAUUAAUGACGAUGCAGCAUUCAAUAAAAAAAAUUCUACUACACCACCCUAUAUAUAUUAUUAUUUUAAAAUUUAUAGUCUGUCAUGAAAAACUGAAUCUUUUAUUAAUAUUGUUAUAAAAUUAUUUUAUAUUGAUUUUAUAUCACCAUUAAAUCUUUUACAUAAUUUAUAAUAUUUUCAUAUAAGUUUACAUCAUAAUUGUAUUCAAAAUAUUUAUAUAAAAAAACUGUAUUUUAAAUAUAAACAUAAAAUACACUAUUUUUAUUUGCUACUAGUAUAAAAGUAAUUUAUAUCGAUAGAAUAUCCUCGUUAUCUCAUGUUGUUUUAAUUGAAUUUUUAUUUAAUAUGAUUUUAAUUUGUAUGCAUAAUAAAAAGUUUUAUAUUACGGUAUAAAUAAAAUAUAUUUAAUCUCAUAAAUACAAUUCAGAUGAUAAUUAUAAUGGCAUUUGAUAUAUUAAAAUAUAAAUUUGAAUGUAUGAUAUCACAUUUUUAUUAAUAUUAGUGUGUAUUUCACUACUAAAAUCUUUAAAAAUAAAUAAAUAAAUCUUUUAGAUAUGUUAUAAUACUUUUAUAAAUACUGACACAAAAAUUUAUAUUACUAUCAUUUUAAUUUAUGAAAUUGUAUCCAUAGUAGANNNNNNNNNNNNNNNNNNNNNNNNNNNNNNNNNNNNNNNNNNNNNNNNNNNNNNNNNNNNNNNNNUAUAUAUAUAUAUAUAUAUAUAUAUAUACUCACGUGUCGAGUGUGUAAUUUUGAAACUUAGCUUUUAAUUUAGAAUUUUUUUAUAUUUUUAAUUUAAUUAAUAAUUAAUGCAUCUAAAUGAUUAUAUAUUAUAGAAUUAUGUAUCACAUCAUUUAAAAUAUGUCAAAUUAUUAUUUUUUCAAAAAUCUGAAAUAUAAAUCUGUCAAUUAUUAAAAUAUGAAGAUUAAUUCUGUCUAAAUCUGCAUUUAAACCUUUUAUAUAUUUUACUAUAAUAAUUACUAUAUUUAUGUCUAAGAGAUAGAUUUGAUCUGAGGAGUGUAAAACUGCUAGUUUAAUUUAUACCAAAAAAAGAAAAAUUGCCCAGUUUAGUAAAACAGUAUACAAAUUAUUUAUAGUAAUCUAGUUGUAUCCCAGGUGGACCCAGUAACUGUUAAUAGUUGGUUAUAACAAUCUAACUCUCUCAUCACAAUCGCAACUUAAUUCUUCUUCUUCAAUAGAUUCUGUAAGCUAUAUAUACUAACACGAACAUUACAUAUUGUAGCAGACAUUACAUUAAUUAAAUUAAACAAAACAAAACAUAGUAUGAGUAAUGAAAACACAGAAGGAGUAUUACGAAACGGGUUUUUCCCUGAAGAUUCGUUUAAGAAUUGGGAUGAAUAUAGAAAAGCGUUUAUGGAAAUACCUUUUAGGUUAAAGGAUAGGGCUUUCACCCGAUCCAAAGACUAUAUGGAGAUUGUUGAAAUGAAGGCUCGGAGUAACAACCAAAUGAAGAAAACACUUAAUUGGUGGGAUCUUAUUUGGUUCGGAAUUGGAGCCGUUGUAGGUUCGGGCAUUUUUGUUCUUACCGGACUUGAGGCUCGGGAGGAAGUAGGUCCCGCCGUCGUUUUAUCUUACGUCGUUUCCGGUAUCUCUGCUUUGCUUUCCGUAUUCUGUUACACCGAAUUCGCCGUUGAAAUUCCAGUGGCAGGUUUUUCCCUCUACUGAUCUCUCUCUCUUUUCAUAUUACACUGUAUUUAAUUAGACAGUAAUUGAAUUAUUUAUUUAUUUAUUGAUAAUCAGGUGGAUCGUUUGCAUACUUGAGAGUAGAAAUGGGAGACUUUGUGGCGU